rnacentral:lncRNA from 1 species
AGAACCUAAAUGGUAGAGCAACAAACAGCAGCCUGUGCGGGAAGAUAAUGAAAUUUACAAAGCUUCUAGGAAGGCCCAUCUCAAGUCCUUGCAGCUGAGAGAAUCUGAGCCUGCCACCUCAGAAGUGCCUAAGGAUGGUUGUGAGCAUGUGUGGAUGACUUCUUCAGGAGCCGGACAGCAGUACCGUGGGUGUGAGUGAGUGUGGGUGCUUGUGUGGAGAACAAGGACAACUUUUGGGAAUCGAUUCUCUUACCAUGUAAGUUCUGGGGACUAAACUCAGGGAUCAGAGGUUGCACAAGUGCUUUCACCUGCUGAGACACAUCGAUGCCCCUCCCCCCUUUUUGAGUUAGGGUCUCAUGCAGCCCACAAUGGUCUCAAACUUAUUUAGCCAACAGUGACCUUGAACCCUGAUCCUCCUGUCUCCCUCUCUCAGCUGCUUGGAUUGGAGGUGUGUGUCACCGUGUUCAAUUAAUGAAAGCCAAAUUUUAAGUGGGCUGCCACCAGCGGAGGUCAGGGUGUCCCCUUCUGCCCUGUGGUGCAUCAGAACCUUCCCAUGCAGUGGGGAAGGGAGCCCUCCCCAACCCCUGCUAGGAGAGAACGCAGUGUUUUAGGGAUAAGUCUACAGCAGGCACCUCCAAAUUAGACAGCUAGUCAUUAUGAAGACUUAAGUCACCUUUAAAAUCAUAGUCAGGCAUGGUGGUUCAUUUGUCUAAUCCCAGCACUUGAGAGGCUGACUCACGAGGAUUGAGACCAGCUUGGCUAGCUACAGGAGGCCUUUUCUUGAAAUGCAAAAAUGAAAGGGGGGGUGGCUCACACCUUUAAUCCCCACACUAGAGAGGUAGAGGCAGGUGGAUCUCUGAGUUUGAAGCCAGCCUGAUUUACAUAAUGAAUUCUCAGACAGCUAGGGUUACUUAGAGAGAUUCUGAAUCAGAUAGAUAGAUAGAUAGAUAGAUAGAUAGAUAGAUAGAUAGAUAGAUAGAUGACCUCUGACCUGCAUGUACAACACACACACACAAAUCACUAAAAGAAACAGAUUGAAAAUGAUCAAAGUGCAUUAUAUAUACAUCUACGAAGUGUCAUAAUGAAACCUUUGUUUCCCAUAACUAAUGAACGCUAAUCAACUUCUUAUUCCCAAAGUGAACUCAUUAAUAACAGCUUCAGAAUUUGAGGUACACACAUCGGCUGGCACUCCUCGAAAAGCCAAACAGUCUCUUUCACGCUCCAAGGCAGAGUAAGAGGUCAUGAGCCUACCCUGGAGCAGUCUGAGGUCCCUCAGGUCAAGUUGGGACCUGACUAAGAUCACACAGUGCUGAAGGUCGAAGAGCUAAGUGAAAGGGAGGUGGGAGCAAAGGCCAAACCACCGAGUCUCACACCCAAGGGACGAGAAGCAAAGACAGCGGCGGCCCAUUAUCUGCAGCAGGAAAUGUUGGUGAUCCCAAAGCCUGCCACAGAUCCUCCUGCAUCCUCCUGCUUCCGAAAUGCUGGGAUCAAUGUCUACCAGAAAGCAUCCGAACUUGGGGAUCAUGGUACAUCACUUCUGUAAUCUCAGAGCUGCAGACGCCGAGGCCAGAGGAUCAGGAGCACAAGGCCAUCCUCGAGUCUAUGGAGAAUUUUGGUUUCUUUUAAAACCCAGUUAUGUUGUGGGAAUGAGUGUGUGUGUGUGUGUUGUGUGUGUGUCUAUACCUAUCUAUCUUGCCCCAGAGAACCAGAACCCCUAAUCAUCAAGAAGUAGUCUAUAUACACCCCCUUUCUCCUCUAACUUCUUUCUCUCCAACCUACUGUUGGGGUUUGUAAUAAAAGUCGGGAGGUAGACGUAUAAGAACC